ACAGCCUGGGUAGUACAAGAGUCUUUCUGCCAGCCUCCAGUUUGUUUUCAUGAAAUUUUUUCUGCACGUGGAUGUAUUCUUGAUGUGUUCAUCAGAGGACAUGAACCCCCAGUACUCCUGCUCCACCUUCUUGGUCUUUAUCCUCAAAUGAGAAGAUGUUAUCACUAACAUUUAUUGAUCCCACAUACAUGUCAGGAUAGUUUCAAAACAUAAAAAGAAGAAAGCUUGUUUAUUUUAAUAUCUUGCUUAAUUGCAACUUUGAAAUAUAACUUAGUGCUAGUAAUUUUCCAAAUGAGGGAUACUCUUGGCAUGUUUUGCUUUGUGCAUCAACUCGCUACUCUGUUAUUUUUUUUAAUUAGGUGACUAAGCAGAGGCAUUUUGAGUAUGUAUCAUAUAGCAAUUUUACAUUUCAUACAGUAAUGCAAAAUCUAUUUUAUUAAGCCCCUUUACUUCGCUUAAGAGGAAAAACCUAGGUAGGUCUCCAUUACACAGGUAGAGUGAAAUGCACCCUAUAGUUCUGUCAGAUUAUAGAGAGCUAGCCAUGUGCUUCCAGGAGUAGGAAUGGUUUGCUGAAGCAUACAAGCCCAGCAAAGGAAAACAAAGACAUGGCAAUCAUAAUAAUAGUGACAACUUUAAUAGUAGAAAUGCUUCAAAAAUGAGUGUUUUGCAGCAGGCAAACUCUCCAUAACCUGCAGCUUGUACAUAAUGUCUGACGUAGUCUGGCUCCAAACAUCCCCAGUUAGAAACAACAAAUGCUAAGUGCCAAGUGAGACCAACAAGAUUCCUAAGCAAUGAUGAAUAUGAAGAAAGGAUAGAGCAGGGCACCCAUGCCAUGGCCAACCUGCUCUUCCCAGUUCCCCAAGGUGAUGAAAUGUGUGACUGUCACAAGACUCAGUAAUACUGUUAUAAUUGGGAUGUACAGGGAAUAGAUGCCAGCUGCAGAAACAGUAUGUGCUUUGACAAGGAGUGUGUUGCAAGCUGCUGCCAGCCUGUGCCUGCUGCCAACUCCACUCAGCUACAAAUAGAAAUGACGAUGCACAGUGGGCCAUAGCUCUUGUAGUAGCCUUUAUCAACUGCUGCUUCAAGACCAAGCAGGGUGCAGAAUUCCAGAGUGGUCAUGACAGUCUGCAGGUUACUUACACAUCACAGAAUGGUACUUCUCAAAGUAUGUCCACGGUUCUCCUACAUUAGUAUCAAAAGAAAAGCUUGUUUAAAAAUGCAGCUUCAGGAGUCCCCAUCAUGGCUCAGUGGUUAACAAAUCCAACUAGUAUCCAUAAGGACGCAGGUUCAAUCCCUGGCCUUGCUCAGUGGGUUAGGGAUCCAGCAUUGCUGUGGGCUGUGGUUUGGUCAUAGAUGUGGCUUGGAUCCCAUGUUGCUGUGGCUACGGUAUAGGGAGGCAGCUACAGCUCCCAUUUGACCUCUAGCCUGGGAACCUCCAUAUGUCACACGUACAGCCCUAAAAAAAUAUUUUAAAAAAGUGCAGCUUCAUUCCCCUCCCCAGACCUAUUGAAUCAGAAUCUCUGAGGGCAAGGCCCAGGAAACUGCAUUUUUAAAGAUACCUGGUGUUUCUUAUGAACUCUUUGAUUUGAGAGCCAAGGUCAAGUGAGCCCAAAAAAAAAAAACCAAAAGCACAAAUUACAAAGCCAUGUAAGGCAGGGGAAAAUAUCAUCUUGCAUUCUUAUUAUGCUUUACAAUUUACCAGGAGCUUUUUUUUUUUUUUUUUUUUUUUGCUUUUUAGGGCCACAACUGUGACAUAUGGAAGUUCCCAGGCUAGGGGUCUAAUUGAAGGUGUAGCUGCUGGCCUACACCACAGCCAUGGCAAUGCAGGAUUUGAGCCACGUCUGUGACCCACAGCACAGCUCAUGGCAGCACCGGAUCCUCAACCCACUGAGCGAGUCCAGGUGUUGAUCCUGCAUCCUCAUGGAUACUAGUCAGGUCUGUAACCCACUGAGCCACAACAGGAACUCCUACCAAGUGCUUUUAUAUGUAAUCUUCAUUCUCCACAAGUAUAUUUACAGAAAAGACAAUACCUUGGAGAUCUGAGUUGUCCAAGAAUAAGAACAUAGUUUAAAAAUUCUUUUUAAGAUUAAAGGUAUUUUAGUAAAGUCUAGAACUCCUGCCAAUCUACUGUUCUCAUUCAUGGUAAUGAUAAUUAUAAUGACAUGAAUAACAAUAAAAAGAAAAAAAUGAUAGCAGCCCUUCCUAUGUGCCAGACAAUUGUGUCAAGAUUCUAUGUUCAUUAUCACAUUUAAUCUCUAUAACGACACAUGAGAUAUUAUGCUUCUAGUUUUACAGUUGAGGAAAUUAAGGCUUACCAAAAUUAAAUUAGGUUCCUUAAGAUAAUAGAGCAACUAAAUUCUGGUGCCUAGAUCCAAAUGUUCUGCCUGACUUUACAGCACGUGCUCUGAUCACUCGGCACUACAGCCUCUCUGGUAUGACUCACUCAGUCUAGCUACAAAGUUGCUCCAUUGUUUGAAGAUUAAACCUGGCUUCACUUUCUCACAAUAACCAGCAUAGUGAGAUUUAGUCUAAUGAAGUGAAUGAAUUUCUCAGUGACUCCCUUAACACUCUAUCUUACGUUGAUUCAUUAGCAAGGUAUUAACUUCCCAUUUGGUGCCAUACCUUGUACUUGAUGAUGGAAAUAGUGAUGAGUAAAAUAAAGUUUCUGCUUUCAGGGAAUUUACAUUGUUGUAUAAAGUUAAGGGUUCUAAUUCACACUACAUCCUACUUCCCCUGACCAGAGUCCAUGAUCCAGCUAUUUUUCCACUAUUCUGGUGAAUUUUAACAAAUAUGAAUUCUUCAUUGUUAGCAAUUGUUUUUAAUGGUCUCAGGUGCUACAUUCCAAAAGACUACGAUCAUUGUGUCAGUCAGGACUUUCAGUGUCAGGACAGAAAGAGCAAAACAAAUUGGCUUAGACAAAGACUUUUUUGACUCACAAAAUGGAAAAUUCUAGAGACUUUCUAGGUACAGCUGGAUUCAGAUAGUCAAGCAUUGUUGUCAGAAAUUUGUCUCUCAUCGUCCCUAGCUUCUGCUAUAUUCUGUUAGUUAUAUUUUCUUGUAGGUUUUUCCAACACAGCAGCAAGAUGGCCACCAGAUGCUGCAGUUUCACUUCCUACUCUGUUUAUAAAGACCAAAGAAAAAGGAAAUUUCUCUUUUCCAGAAGUUUUGACAAGAAAUUCAGACUUAAGUGUCAUUAUCUUGGUCUGGAUCACCUAAAAAUAUAGCACUGUGUCCAGACCUGAAUCACAGGCCUCUUGGAAAUGAGUUUGACCCCACCCAAACUAUCUUGAUUGGAAGUUGGCAAGAGGUGCUUCCCCAAAGGCAAAGCAGGGUGCUGUUAUCAGAAAUAGAUAUUGGAUGGGGGAAAGCAAUAGCACUGUAUUAAAACCAUUUAAAAAUAAAUAAAAACUUUUAAAUAGGAAUUCCCUGGUGGCCUAGCAGUUAAGGAUCUGGCAUUGUCACUGCUGUGGCUCAAGUCUCUGCUGUAGUGCAGGUUGAUUCCUGGCCCAGGAACUUGCACAUGCCAUCAGCAUGGCCAUAAAUAAAUAAAUAACCAUUUGGGACUUUAAAACAAUACCCCAAUUUACAGUAAUAAUUCUAGAACAAACAUCAAUACUAAGAACAAGAAAAUAGGGAAAGAGACAGGGAAGGAAAUGGAGGAUGUAAGUAUUUUAUUUCCUUCAAAUACCAUCAAAUAUACUUAUUUUAUUUAUGCAAAUGAUAGGUCCUUCUACAUAGACAAAUAAGUCUUCAGUGACCCUAAUAAGGUAUAUCUCAUUAGAUGGGUUAAACUGACCUCAACAGAAAGUUCCCUAGGCCCCUUGAUUAAGAUUGUGAUUGUAAUGGAGAAAAAAGUUUAAUUCAGUCAAAUAUUUAGGUACUUUGAACUCAACAUCUAGUAGGUCCUUUCAAGCAAGUGUGCAAUGGUAUUUUUCUUUCUUGUUCUCUUUUGGUAUGCACGACAUUUUGGGGGGGCACGAUUCAGAAGCCUACUGUCUCUUACUAGUGAUGAGAGAAAAGUUGGGAAAUAACUUUGAAAAAUUAUUUAAUCUCUUUGUAAAAUAGAGUUAGCAAAAUAGAGCCAUCUCCUAAAGUUGUUAUGAGAAUUAAAUGAUUUAAUUCAAGGAAGACACUUAAGAUAGUGGUUGCCUCAUUAUAGACAUGUUACCUAUUAUAAUUAUUUAAAAAGAAUCCUUGGUGGUACUUAGUUUGAUAGUGAACCUGCUUAAGGCAACCAUUAAGUUAGACCAAUAAUCAAUUUUUUGCCUUGAAUUAUUAUUAUUUAAAUACUUGUAUUAAUACCUCUUCUAUACAGUAAGAACUUGAUGUCAGUAAGAGUUGUAAUCUCUGUAUCUCCACCACAAAACCUACAUUUGUUGAAUGAAUGAUUUAAUAAAUGAAUGGAAACAAAUAGAGCCAAAUCUUCUGUCCUCACCCUCUAAGACUGUCUUUCCUUUGAGUUCCUGUGCUUUCUGAAAAUAAGUAACAAUUAAUAUGAAAGCAUUUUCCCUCACUGCACUAAACUGAUUUCCAAAGGUUGUCACUAGAAAGGGCAAAGCCUUACCUCCCAAAGAAUGAGUACUUAAUUGGUGCAGUUUCUGGAACAAGGACAGACAGAGAAGGGAAAGAUUUCAGAUCAGUGAACAUUCCUGGCUGCCCUGGAAUCAGCCAGUAUAAUUUGUGUUUUCAUAUCAGCAGACUUACAGAUCAUACUCUUUCUCAUUCUUCACAGUACAUUGGAAGCAAGCCUAGAGGCCUGUGAGUACUUGUUUUCCCUCAAAUCUCACACACAUAGGCUGAAGUCCACUGAACCUAUGCUCAGGGGCAGCCCUUGUCUCUAUUAGACAGCUUCCACAUUUCCCUCCCAAAGUGCAUGAAUGGGAAUGAAAACUGCCAGUUCUCCAGAAUGACAUCUGAGGCACCCUGUGAGUACCGACACGCUGCAGAACGGCCACAGAUGGCCACCUAGGGACAACCAUACGACUGCAUAGACUUCUGCAGAGAGCAAUAUGUGCUGGGAAGUGUGGCCAAGGUCCACAUGUACAUGCCUGUGCUGGAAUCACAGUACUUGUGCUGCUGCCAGAGGGCUACCUGAGGAGGGAGGAGAUUAAGCAGGUACCCAUUUCCGAAAAGUCCCUCCCCUUUUAUGACAAAGAGAUUAAGACCUAGUUGCAAAUAGCUUUCUGAAUCUCUCUUAACCAUUUAGAACACGGCACUACAGCAAAAUCCUCCCUCCUAGUCUCUGUGAUUUUCUGUCUAUGAGCAUUUUUAUACCCUCCGUACUUAAUGGGUUAAUGGAGCUUUCAUCCCUUAUAAUGCCAACAGAAAUAUAAUGUUAUCUAUAAUAAAUUCUGCCAAAAUGCACAUUCCAGCCAGCAUUCUUAGCAGUCAUUUCCAUAAUAGAGUGUACUGGGGCAUUGAUCACAAGCUUCAUGCCUUGAAACCUGACCCUCUGGGAGGGUCAAUCCCUGUCUGUUGAGUCAUAGCUAGAACUUGUUCUCAUGAGAUAGAGGUAAAAGUCCAAAAGAUUAUGGCAUUAUUUUAAAUAUUUACUUGUGUGGUCAAAAUACAAAUAUUUUUAAAUAUAUUUAUACAAUUAAUCAUUAUAUACUUUCUCACAAGCUUAAGUGUUACUUUUCAUGUCACCAAGUAUCUUUUCAAUAUUCCAGACACUGGGAAUAAAUCUUUUUGUCUGCUUUAUUGUUUCUGGUGCUGAUCACUCAAGCAGUUAAUGGCCCCAAACUAUCUGUACUAUAACAUUCCAUUCUCUUUAGCUUAUUCUUGAAUUCAUUUCUAAAAAACUCUAUUUAUAGCUAAAGUUUACAAUCUACCUGGGAGGUUUACUUGAAUGGAUUCAUAUUUUAUUUUGUCUAGAUUGGAUAAAUUAAAUACAUUGUGAUCUUUUGUUCAUCAAGCUUACUAAUAUUAGCUCCUGUUAAAUUAUUUAAAAUAUUAAGAAAAUAAAAUAUUAAGAAAAAUAAAAAUGCUUAUAUAUCCAAUAAUGAGAUAUUUUAAAAGAGCAGUAUUAUGUUUAACCAGCUUUAUAGU
rnacentral:lncRNA from 1 species